GUGACCUCAAAUCAGGUAGGACUACCCGCUGAACUUAAGCAUAUCAAUAAGCGGAGGAAAAGAAACUAACAAGGAUUCCCCUAGUAACUGCGAGUG
rnacentral:rRNA from 1 species